rnacentral:rRNA from 1 species
GAGUUUGAUCGUGGCUCAGAUUGAACGCUGGCGGCAUGCCUUACACAUGCAAGUCGAACGGCAGCAUGAUCUAGCUUGCUAGAUUGAUGGCGAGUGGCGAACGGGUGAGUAAUACAUCGGAACGUGCCCUGUAGUGGGGGAUAACUAGUCGAAAGAUUAGCUAAUACCGCAUACGACCUGAGGGUGAAAGUGGGGGACCGCAAGGCCUCAUGCUAUAGGAGCGGCCGAUGUCUGAUUAGCUAGUUGGUGGGUAAAGGCCCACCAAGGCGACGAUCAGUAGCUGGUCUGAGAGGACGAUCAGCCACACUGGGACUGAGACACGGCCCAGACUCCUACGGGAGGCAGCAGUGGGGAAUUUUGGACAAUGGGCGAAAGCCUGAUCCAGCAAUGCCGCGUGUGUGAAGAAGGCCUCGGUUG